UACGUAGGGUGCGAGCGUUGUCCGGAAUUAUUGGGCGUAAAGAGCUCGUAGGCGGUGUGUCACGUCGGCCGUGAAACCUGCAGCUUAACUGUGGGCGUGCGGUCGAUACGGGCAUCACUGGAGUUCGGCAGGGGAGACUGGAAUUCCUGGUGUAGCGGUGAAAUGCGCAGAUAUCAGGAGGAACACCGGUGGCGAAGGCGGGUCUCUGGGCCGAUACUAACGCUGAGGAGCGAAAGCGUGGGGAGCGAACAGG
rnacentral:rRNA from 1 species